UUUUAACAAAAAUUUAGAGGCUGGUCCCUACCUUCUGCUCUACCCUGAUGGUACAAAGGUAAUAAAUAUUCCCGGGACAGAAACAGCCUUCUCUCUGAAACUCUACAAGGAUGCUGUUGGGAAGGCUUGGCAACGCCUCACAUUGUACAUUUGUACGGUGGAAGAUUUCCUUACUAAUUCUGAGCAAUUCAACUCAGACUCGUCUGAUUCAGAGGUGAUCAUUACAAGCAGAAGUGCUGCUGAAUUCAAUUCAGCUGAUACAGUACUAUUUAAACCAAUCUUGACCAGUACCAGUAUUGGUGUUGAAGAAACUCCACACCGUGAUCCAGAAACUAUG